UACGAAGGGGGCUAGCGUUGUUCGGAAUCACUGGGCGUAAAGGGUGCGUAGGCGGGUCUUUAAGUCAGGGGUGAAAUCCUGGAGCUCAACUCCAGAACUGCCUUUGAUACUGAAGAUCUUGAGUUCGGGAGAGGUGAGUGGAACUGCGAGUGUAGAGGUGAAAUUCGUAGAUAUUCGCAAGAACACCAGUGGCGAAGGCGGCUCACUGGCCCGAUACUGACGCUGAGGCACGAAAGCGUGGGGAGCAAACAGG
rnacentral:rRNA from 1 species